rnacentral:rRNA from 1 species
UACAGAGGUCUCAACCGUUGUUCGGAUUCAUUGGGCGUAAAGGGUGCGUAGGCGGUCGGGUAAGUCGGAUGUGAAAUCUCAGGGCUCAACCCUGAAACUGCAUUCGAUACUGCCUGGCUAGGGUACUGGAGAGGAGACUGGAAUUUACGGUGUAGCAGUGAAAUGCGUAGAUAUCGUAAGGAAGACCAGUGGCGAAGGCGAGUCUCUGGACAGUUACCGACGCUGAGGCACGAAGGUCAGGGGAGCAAACGGGG